AUAAAGUUGGCAGAUUAGUGCAAGUAAUUUAGGUUUACUUUAUAAGGGUGAUACUCUUACUUUAUA
rnacentral:tRNA from 1 species